rnacentral:rRNA from 1 species
GAUGAACGCUGGCGGUCUGCUUAACACAUGCAAGUCGAACGGAAUCCUUCGGGAUUUAGUGGCGGACGGGUGAGUAACACGUGAGAAUCUGCACUCAGGAUGGGGACAACAGCGGGAAACUGCUGCUAAUACCCAAUGUGCCGAAAGGUAAAAGAUUUAUCGCCUGAGAAUGAGCUCGCGGCCGAUUAGUUAGUUGGUGGGGUAAUGGCCUACCAAGACGGCGAUCGGUAGCUGGUCUGAGAGGAUGAGCAGCCACACUGGGACUGAGACACGGCCCAGACUCCUACGGGAGGCAGUAGUGGGGAAUUUUCCGCAAUGGGCGCAAGCCUGACGGAGCAAGACCGCGUGGGGGAGGAAGGCUCUUGGGUUGUAAACCCCUUUUCUCAAGGAAGAACAAAAUGACGGUACUUGAGGAAUCAGCCUCGGCUAACUCCGUGCCAGCAGCCGCCGUAAAAC